GAUGAACGCUGGCGGCGUGCCUAAUACAUGCAAGUCGAACGAAUCUUCUUCGGAAGAUGAGUGGCGAACGGGUGAGUAAUACAUAGGUAACCUGCCCCUGUGCGGGGGAUAACAGGAGGAAACUCCUGCUAAUACCGCAUAGCCAUGAGCACCGCAUGGAGCUCAUGCCAAAUAUCCUUUCGGGGAUAGCGCAGGGAUGGACCUAUGGCGGAUUAGCUGGUUGGCGGGGCAAGGGCCCACCAAAGCAACGAUGCGUAGCCGGCCUGAGAGGGCGGACGGCCACAUUGGGACUGAGACACGGCCCAGACUCCUACGGGAGGCAGCAGUAGGGAAUUUUCGGCAAUGGGGGAAACCCUGACCGAGCAACGCCGCGUGAGCGAAGAAGGCCUUCGGGUCGUAAAGCUCUGUUGUAAAGGAAGAACGGCGCAUACAGGAAAUGGUAUGCGAGUGACGGUACUUUACCAGAAAGCCACGGCUAACUACGUGCCAGCAGCCGCCGUAA
rnacentral:rRNA from 1 species